rnacentral:rRNA from 1 species
UACGAAGGGGGCUAGCGUUGCUCGGAAUCACUGGGCGUAAAGGGUGCGUAGGCGGGGCUUUAAGUCAGGGGUGAAAUCCUGGAGCUCAACUCCAGAACUGCCUUUGAUACUGAGAAUCUUGAGUAUGGGAGAGGUGAGUGGAACUGCGAGUGUAGAGGUGAAAUUCGUAGAUAUUCGCAAGAACACCAGUGGCGAAGGCGGCUCACUGGCCCAUAACUGACGCUGAGGCACGAAAGCGUGGGGAGCAAACAGG